UAAACUUUGACACCAGCCAACCACCUCACUACACUGUGUUUGGUUCUGUAUGUGAAAAACCUUCAAUUUGAAUUUUGAUUAUAAAUGUAGUUAGCAUUGUUGCUGUUUCAGGGCUGAUGCUGACAGAGAAGAUGGCUCUUUAGGGAGACUUGUCAAUGAUGAUGUGAACCCCAACAGCAAAAUAAAGAGUGGAUGGAAAGCCCCAUCUCUGCUUAUUUGCACUAAGGGAUAUAAGUCCUGGGGAAGAGAUUACUGAUAACUACAGAGAUUCUGACUGGCCAUGGAGAAGCAAGGUAACUGCUGAGCUGGAACAACAAAAGUUGUAGCCAGCUGUGCAGCAGGAGAUGAAACCGAGAGGGUUGUUCUGAAUGGUGUGCCAGUGAGCAGAAGGCGGUGCCGUGCCGGAACUCAUCUGUUCGUGUGUAAAAUACCGACUUCGCCCUCACACUGUCGAAGUUACUCUUGAACCGCUUCCUAGAGUCAUCCAUCUGCAGUUUGAAGUCUUUGAACUCCUUCCUCUUCCCUGGGAAAUAUUCUGCAAUCUUUUAAGUCAGACUCCACCCCAACAAUAGAUUUAAUUAAAUCUAGCUCUGCUCCUGGAGCUGGAGCUGAAUCCCA